GUCCACGGCCAUACAACCCUGAAUGCAUCAAAUCUUGUCUGAUCUCAGAAGUUAAACAGGGUCGGGUUUGGUUAGUACUUGGAUUGGAGUUGAAUAUACAAAAGUGAAAAAUUAUAGAAU
rnacentral:rRNA from 1 species